UCACCAGACUCCUACGGGAGGCAGCAGUGAGGAAUAUUGGUCAAUGGGCGAGAGCCUGAACCAGCCAAGUCGCGUGAGGGAAGACGGUCCUAUGGAUUGUAAACCUCUUUUGCCGGGGAGCAAAAAGCGGUACGUGUACCGCAUCGAGAGUACCCGGAGAAAAAGCAUCGGCUAACUACGUGCCAGCAGCCGCGGUAAUACGUAGGAGGCAAGCGUUAUCCGGAAUGACUGGGCGUAAAGGGUGCGUAGGGGGUUUGACAAGUUGGUAGCGCAACUCCGGGGCUCAACCUCGGCACUACUACCAAAACUGUUGAACUUGAGUGCAGGAGGGGCAAAUGGAAUUCCUAGUGUAGCGGUGGAAUGCGUAGAUAUUAGGAGGAACACCAGUGGCGAAGGCGAUUUGCUGGACUGUAACUGACACUGAGGCACGAAAGCGUGGGGAGCAAACAGGAUUAGAUACCCCAGUA
rnacentral:rRNA from 1 species